GCCGCCGUAGCUCAGUUGGCCAGAGCAAUCGCUUCGUAAGCGAUAGGUCACCGGUUCGAAUCCGGUCGGCGGCUCCA
rnacentral:tRNA from 1 species